rnacentral:rRNA from 1 species
UACGGGGGGGGCAAGCGUUGUUCGGAAUUACUGGGCGUAAAGGGCUCGUAGGCGGCCAACUAAGUCAGACGUGAAAUCCCUCGGCUUAACCGGGGAACUGCGUCUGAUACUGGAUGGCUUGAGGUUGGGAGAGGGAUGCGGAAUUCCAGGUGUAGCGGUGAAAUGCGUAGAUAUCGGAAGGAACAUCAGUGGCGAAAGCGACUUCCUGGACCAAUACUGACGCUCAUGUGCGAAAGCGUGGGGAGCAAACAGG